CUUGUUGUGAAAGAUGGUCAUGGUAGCAACCCGGGGAAUAUAUUAUGGCAGAGUUUUGAUUUUCCAUAUAACACCUUGUUACCGGGCAUGAAAUUAGGAUGGAACCUUGAUUUGGGUUUGGAUAUGUUUCUACAAUCUUGGAGGAGCACAGAUGAUCCAGCUAAGGGUGAUUUUAAGUGCUUGAUAGAUCUUCGAGGGUUUCCUCAGCUUUUCAUUAUGAAGGGAAAUAUAAUACAGUGUCGUAGUGGACCAUGGAAUGGCCUCCAGUUUACAGGGAGUCCUCAGCUGAAACCAAACCCAAUAUUUAAUUUUAUAUUUGUGUCAAAUAAGGAUGAGGUAUAUUAUUCAUACGAGCUCAAAAAUAGUUCAGUUGUUUCGAGGUUAAUAAUAAGUGACAAAGGGGUUCUAGAGCGGCAUAUUUGGAUUGAUCGAACACAGAGUUGGACGCUAUUCUUUGGAGUUCCAACAGAUCAAUGUGACACUUAUGCAUUGUGUGGUCAAUAUGCGAGUUGCAACAUCAAUAACUAUCCUGUAUGUGCAUGCUUGGAAGGGUUUGUACCCAAAUCCCCAACAGCUUGGAGUGCGUCAGAUUGGUCAGAUGGGUGUGUCCGAAGGACUCAACUGAAUUGUCAUAGUGGAGAUGGAUUUCGGAAGCAUACAGAAAUGAAAUUACCAGACACGUCUUCUUCCUGGGUUGAUAAGAGCUUAGGCCUGAAG
rnacentral:misc_RNA from 1 species